rnacentral:rRNA from 1 species
GAGAGGAUGACCAGCCACACUGGAACUGAGACACGGUCCAGACUCCUACGGGAGGCAGCAGUGGGGAAUAUUGCACAAUGGGCGCAAGCCUGAUGCAGCCAUGCCGC